rnacentral:rRNA from 1 species
AGAAUCAACGCUGGCGGCGUGCCUAACACAUGCAAGUCGAACGCGAAAGUCCCGCAAGGGACCGUAGAGUGGCAAACGGGUGAGUAACGCGUGGGUGACCUGCCUUCGAGUGGGGGAUAACGUUCCGAAAGGGACGCUAAUACCGCAUAACAUGCUGUCCUUCAAGAGAUGGACAUCAAAGCCUGGGACCGUAAGGCCAGGCGCUUGAAGAGGGGCCCGCGUCUGAUUAGCUAGUUGGUGGGGUAAUGGCUCACCAAAGGCAACGAUCAGUA